GAGGUCUCAAGCGUUGUUCGGAUUCAUUGGGCGUAAAGGUUGCGUAGGCGGCGCGGUAAGUCGGGGGUGAAAUCUCGGAGCUUAACUCCGAAACUGCAUUCGAUACUGCCGUGCUUGAGGACUGGAGAGGAGACUGGAAUUUACGGUGUAGCGGUGAAAUGCGUAGAUAUCGUAAGGAAGACCAGUGGCGAAGGCGGGUCUCUGGACCCUUGCCUGACGCUGAGGCGCGAAAGCGUGGGGAGCUAUCCGG
rnacentral:rRNA from 1 species